UACAGAGGUCCCGAGCGUUGUUCGGAUUCAUUGGGCGUAAAGGGUGCGUAGGCGGCGGGGCAAGUCUGAUGUGAAAUCCCGGGGCUCAACCCCGGAACUGCAUUGGAUACUGCCUUGCUAGAGUACUGGAGAGGGAACUGGAAUUUACGGUGUAGCAGUGAAAUGCGUAGAGAUCGUAAGGAAGGCCAGUGGCGAAGGCGAGUUCCUGGACAGUUACUGACACUGAGGCACGAAGGCCAGGGGAGCAAACGGG
rnacentral:rRNA from 1 species